UCCGCCCAUAAGAUUAGCCCAAGUGGGAUUAGCUAGUUGGUGAGUAAUGGCUCACCAAGGCGACGAUCCCUAGCUGGUUUGAGAGGAUGAUCAGCCACACUGGGACUGAGACACGGCCCAGACUCUUACGGGAGGCAGCAGUGGGGAAUAUUGCACAAUGGGCGCAAGCCUGAUGCAGCCAUGCCGCGUGUGUGAAGAAGGCCUUCGGUUGUAAAGCACUUUCAGUAAGGAGGAAAGGUUAAGUGUUAAUAGCACUUAGCUGUGACGUUACUUACAGAAGAAGCACCGGCUAACUCCGUGCCAGCAGCCGCGGUAAUACGGAGGGUGCGAGCGUUAAUCGGAAUUACUGGGCGUAAAGCGUACGCAGGCGGUUUGUUAAGCGAGAUGUGAAAGCCCCGGGCUCAACCUGGGAACUGCAUUUCGAACUGGCAAACUAGAGUGUGAUAGAGGGUGGUAGAAUUUCA
rnacentral:rRNA from 1 species